rnacentral:rRNA from 1 species
CAGCCGCCACGGGAAUACGAAGGGUGCAAGCGUUAAUCGGAAUUACUGGGCGUAAAGCGCGCGUAGGUGGUUUGGUAAGAUGGAUGUGAAAUCCCCGGGCUCAACCUGGGAACUGCAUCCAUAACUGCCUGACUAGAGUACGGUAGAGGGUGGUGGAAUUUCCUGUGUAGCGGUGAAAUGCGUAGAUAUAGGAAGGAACACCAGUGGCGAAGGCGACCACCUGGACUGAUACUGACACUGAGGUGCGAAAGCGUGGGGAGCAAACAGGAUUAGAUACCCCGGUAGUCCCUGUCUCUUAUAU